rnacentral:rRNA from 1 species
GACGAACCGUCCUAACGUUGUUCGGAUUCACUGGGCUUAAAGGGCGCGUAGGCGGCUUGCCAAGUCAGGGGUGAAAUCUUUCGGCUUAACCGGAAAAGUGCUUCUGAUACUGGCGAGCUGGAGGGAGGUAGGGGCAGACGGAACUUCCGGUGGAGCGGUGAAAUGCGUAGAUAUCGGAAGGAACGCCGGUGGCGAAAGCGGUCUGCUGGAUCUCUUCUGACGCUGAGGCGCGAAAGCCAGGGGAGCAAACAGG